rnacentral:miRNA from 1 species
UACCUCAUCAAUUGGAAGGAAUUCCUUCCGGUUGAUGGGGUUUUUAUACCUCAUAAUUGGAAGGAAUUCCUUCCGGUUGAUGGGGUU